AUGCCUUGCUCUCAUGUCAUUGCCGCUUGUGGUUAUAUCCAUCAAGACGCGCUACAACUUCUGUCACACAUUUACAAAUCUGAAAUGUUGCUCAACGUUUACAAGAACAGCUUUCCUUUGGUAGCAAAACCAGAUUAUUGCCCUGCAUACGACGGCGAAAUAGUGUGGCACAAUGACCAAAUGUGA